rnacentral:ncRNA from 1 species
UUUUAAGUUUGAUUUUGGUUUUUGUUGUCUUAAGAUAGUAUUACUUAUUUUUAGUUUAUUGGGUGUGUUAUUUUUUUUUCACUGUUAGUUUUUUGUUUGUUUUAUUAGUGUUCCAGAAUAAUCGGCUAUGCACUUUUAAUUUUAACUCUAUUUGUUGUGAUGUUUUUUUUUGAUUUUAUUUUUUAUGUUUUUUCUGUAAAAUGUUUUAAUUUUUUUUUAUUUUGUGAUAAAUGUCUAAAAUUUGGUUUUUGAACUGGAUUAGUACCCAGGUAACCAAAGUUUAUUAAUUCGGGAGUAAAGUUGGGUUUAAACCGAAAAAAUAUUGACUGACUUUGGAUUUUUCUUUGGAAUAUGUUUUGGAGAGCCCUCCUUAGUGGUUUAUCUUUUUAGCUCAUGUAUGAUUGUCUAGUUUUUAUUUUUUUUUGUGAUGCUUUUUGUUUUGGCUUUUAAGACAGAUAUAUAUUUGGUUUAUAGAUUUAUUUGGUUUUUUUUAUGUAUUACUAUUAUUAAAAUUUUUAUUGGAUUAUUUUUUUAUUUUUUUAUGAAAUUGGAAAAGAAAGUAAUUUUUUUUUUAUGUUUUGAUGAAUUUAAUUAACGAAGUGGUACAAACCAUCCGUCAAUGGCCUAAAGGGGCGUAAGUUGUAGUAUGGUAGGGGUAAG